AAUCAAAGGAAGGUUCUUGCAGCUGCUAAGCUGAUCUGACACAUCAGUAGUUAUUGUCCCAUAGUAUCGCAAGUUCUCAUUCUUUUUUAACAUCCCAAAUAGUACCACUCUGUCCAUAAUUUUCACCCAAUUCAUUCGAAGGUAAGGGAUGCUACAGAUGCUUCAAUUCUAAUGGCGGAAUCGGUCGGCGCUGUGAUUGUCCAGGAGACAGUUAGCCAAAUCCUAUCUGGUAUUGUUCAAAAAUAUGAGGAGAAAGAGGAAUCAAAUGCGAACAGAAACUUGGAGAGGCUAGAGAUGGCUCACAUCAGGCUGGAGGCUGCUCUUGAGACAUCUGAUAAGUGGCAGAUCACUGAUGCAUCCUUAUUGCGCUGGCGUAGGAAAUUGAAGCGUGCUGCUCAAGAGUGUGGUGACACACUGCACAAAAGCAAGCAGCGAAUCCUAGAAAGCGAACAAAUGAAACGGGAGGUAAAGAAUUCCUCCCUUCCUAACCGUAUUGUGCAUGCUACAAAGUCAUUUGUUUUCUCUGUCCUUGACCGCAGCAACAAUGAGUUGAGCAUAUCCAUUGCUCAAAGAUUUGAGUGGUAUGCAGCUGGUGCUAGUGAGUUUUUGAGAUUCGUAGAGCUUGGGUGCACACCACGCUGUCACAUGCCCUUUGACUCCCUUGUCAAGAACCUUUUUGCAGGCAAGGAACUACAUCAUAAAAUCGUUCGGGGGAAACAAGUAUCCGUCCUUUCAGUUCAGGUUGGUGCCGGUCCAUACUUUAGAGCAUGGAACCAACGUUGGUUUGACAUUUGUCCAGUGUGAUGGUACACCAGAGGGUUAUAUAUUCUUUAGUUUGAUCAUACAGCUCUCGGAGAGUAUAGAUAUAGUUGGUAUCGCACUUAGGUGCUUGCAGUAUUUUGCCCCUCAUUUCAAGUGUAAUUUUGAAAAUAUAAGGAAUGAACUUACUCAACUACCCACUCAAGACUUCUCAUGGGGGCCAUCUAUUUACGACCGUAAGGAGCAAUGGGACAAAUUCAGAAGCUUCUUGUUGCAGUGGGGUCAGCAUGAUGUUCAACGCUUUAGCAACCUAGACAUGGCAGGAUUUUCAGAACUUUUGCUAGAACCAGUAAUUCAUUUGUAUUUGCAGUGUCAAGUCUCAAUGUCUGUUGACAGCAAACAAAAGACAUCACGGUCUGAAGACUUAAUUUCUCUACAAGAUUAUCCAUAUCUGAAAACCGGUAUUUCCUUUUGCCCCCAUGGCUAUUUACAAGACAUGUUGCCAGAGAAUAGGAGUUCUGAAAUAGCUGCCAUAGUCCGCAAGGAGCAACAUUUCUUGCAUUCAGACAUUACCCUGGAACAGCUGGAAGAGAUUAUGCUGCCAAAGGCAAUAGAUUACUUCCACCAGAAUGUUGAAGCGAUGGUUUACCAAAUGAUUUGGAAGUCUAAAUAUGGGUUUGCAUAUAUUCAGGUUGAGAAGCCAUGCAUGAGCACACAGAGAUCAAGCAUGAGAACACGGAGAACUUUUGGGGUAGCUAGUAAGAGAAAGCAAUUGCAAGGGCAUGACGAGGAACUUAUUAGGAAUCGGAUAGCAUGUCACUGGCUCGACUUAUGGGUUACACAUGUGCCUGUACGACUGCAAAGAUCGAUCAAGAACUGGGUGCGGAAAGAAAAGGAAUUUCUAUCAGCAGCACCGCAACUAAUACACCUGAAAUCCUAAAUAUUGUAACUUGGAUGCACACACGAAACAAGACAAUAAAGGACUCGAAAUAGAAUGCUAUAGGGAAGGUAUAAAAAAAGUAGCAUGCCACUUGUUCUUAUUUUCAAUUUGUGUGUCUUGCAUGUAUGGUGUUGUUUGGUUCUCACCAGUUGAUGAGUAUACGCUGAAGUUACUCAAUUACACAGGAAGUUGCUUAC